AAUGAACGCUGGCGGCAUGCCUAACACAUGCAAGUCGAGCGAAAACAUGGGGUGUAGUCGCGCAUGAGUUCGUAACCCGUGGGAACAUGCCUAUGUGUUUGGCAUACCUCGGAGAAUUUUGUGCUAAUACGGGAUCAGAUCUUGGAACCGAAGAUAUAUCGAAUGUCGAUGGGCCCACGUUGAAUUAGCUUGUGGGGGGGCUAGAGGGCUACCACGGCGAGGAUGCGUAACGGGUCUGAGAGGGGGGUCACCCACACUGGAAGGGAGAGACGGCCCAGACUCCUACGGGAGGCAGCAGUACGGAAUCUUACGCGAUGGGCGAGAGCUGGAUAGAGCAACACCGCGUGAGUGAUGAAGGUCCUCGGAUGGGAGAGUGCUGUAGGUAGUGAGGAAGUAAAGUGUGUUUAACCGAGAUGGUAUUGACGGUACCUAGAGAAUAAGCACCGGCUAACUCCGUG
rnacentral:rRNA from 1 species